UACGUAGGGCGCAAGCGUUAUCCGGAAUUAUUGGGCGUAAAGAGCUUGUAGGCGGUCUGUCGCGUCUGCUGUGAAAAUCCGGGGCUCAACCCCGGACUUGCAGUGGGUACGGGCAGACUAGAGUGUGGUAGGGGAGACUGGAAUUCCUGGUGUAGCGGUGGAAUGCGCAGAUAUCAGGAGGAACACCGAUGGCGAAGGCAGGUCUCUGGGCCACUACUGACGCUGAGAAGCGAAAGCAUGGGGAGCGAACAGG
rnacentral:rRNA from 1 species